AACCUGGUUGAUCCUGCCAGUAGUCAUAUGCUUGUCUCAAAGACUAAGCCAUGCACGUCUAAGUACAAACUAAUGAUGGUGAAACUGCAAAUGGCUCAUUACAACGGUUAUGAUGUACCCGGGAGUUCCGAUGGAUAUUUCCAGUAACACUAGAACUAAUACAUGCUCCUGCGUUUAUUAGUUUCGCACAGUCCGUCGCUGAGUCAUGGUAAACAGUUGAUCGACUCGACGUCCCGGAACAGUUUCCGCCCCAUCAGCUUCGAUGGUUGGGUAUUGGCCUACCAUUGCAACAACGGGUAACGAGGAAUUAGGGUUUGAUUUCGGAGAGGGAGCCUGAGAAACGGCUACCACAUCUACGGAUGGCAGCAGGCGCGCAAAUUACCCAAUGCAGACACUGUGAGGUAGUGACGAGAAAUAAUAAAGCGGGACUUCUGUUUCGCUAUUAUAAUGAGGAAUAACCAAAGGUCAUUCCGAUUAGCAACUGAUGGGAAAGUCUGGUGCCAGCAGCCGCGGUAAUACCAGCGUCAGUAGCAUAUAUUAAAAUUGUUGCAGUUAAAACGUCCGUAGUCUGUACGUCGUCCCAAACUCACUGCAGUCUUCCGUUUUCUUCAUUGAAUGCGGUAGUUUCUGCAGUCACUCC
rnacentral:rRNA from 1 species